rnacentral:miRNA from 1 species
CACACCCAACACACUGCGCCCUUCACACAUACAAUACAUCCAAACACAUACACUUAUAUAGGUAUGUGUUUGGACGUAUUGUAUGUGUGAAGGGCGCAGUGUGUUGGGUGUG